AACGUGCCCAUUCAUUCUCUUCUCUCUCUCUUUAUGGAGUCCACCCAGCCGUUCUCACCGCAUCUCCAAAUGAAUGGACUUUAGUAGUGUGACUCCUCGGAUCCUAUAUACGUGACUGAUGCAGAGGAAGGGGAGCAAAGAGCUGGAAAGGGGUGGGCUUCGUCUACGCCAAAGUGCUACCUUUGUGGCCUCGGUUCAGCUGUCUUCAGCUCCAGAUGAACCCGAGCAGCAGACCGAUGAAGCAACUCUCUAUUUUUACUCCUGCAAGGGCAAGCAUGCGCCGAUGGCUGCAGGCUUAAUCAAAGCCUUCAUUGAUUAGUUGAUGCAUAGCUGUUUGGGCGGUAAAGGGAGCACAUCAAGACAAGACUGGCAGAUUUGACGAGCUUAUAGGUGGGUUUUGAGUCAUUCUGGUUUCUUAGUUGGUUAGAUCGUCCAAGAAGUGUUCAAAUUCCUAUUCAUUCUUUUGAAGUAAAAUUCUUCUUCACUGCCUG